rnacentral:rRNA from 1 species
AACGCUGGCGGCAUGCUUAACACAUGCAAGUCGAGGGCAGCGAGGGUAGCAAUAUCGUGUCGGCGACCGGCGCACGGGUGAGUAACGCGUAUGCAACCUACUUUUACCGGAGAAUAGCCCGAAGAAAUUCGGAUUAAUGCUCCAUAGCAUUUAUGUGAGACCUCUCAUGUAUCUUAAAGCUCCGGCGGUAAAAGAUGGGCAUGCGUGACAUUAGUUAGUUGGUGAGGUAACGGCUCACCAAGACUAUGAUGUCUACGGGGUCUAAAAGGAUGGUCCCGCACACUGGUACUGAGACACGGACCAGACUCCUACGGGAGGCAGCAGUGAGGAAUAUUGGUCAAUGGGCGCAAGCCUGAACCAGCCAUGCCGCGUGAAGGAUGACGGCCCUACGGGUUGUAAACUUCUUUUAUACGAGAAGAAAAAGAGUUAUGUAUAACUCACUGACGGUACCGUAUGAAUAAGCAUCGGCUAACUCCGUG